GGGCACAUCGGCAGGUCCGAAAAGCAUACCCGCAGUUCGUGUCCGAAUUUGAUCGGAUGCGGCCAUAGGAUGUCAUCUGGACCCCGUACACCGCUGCAGCUAUCCAGACACGUGCGCCGCACGGGUUGUCUUCCCUCUGCACGUGUGACGAGGAGUGCUGGCUCACAAAGGCGAACCUAGUGUUCGAUAUUCUCAUCGAGCCGUACUGCGUCGAGCGAGUGAUGAGGCAGUUUGGGCAACGACAGCACUUCCCUCUCCUACCUCGAGCGUUCCAGGCGGUGCCGUGCAACGUACACAAAUAUUCGCGCAGGGGAUAUCAUGCCAACGAGGUCAACUGGGUCGUCAAGCUGCAAGAGUACGUAGAAGGGUGGCUUGACGCACGUGACGAUGUGUAGGACGAGCCGCAGCCACACACGGAGGCGUCAUACGGCGCAUACCUCCGCUGGUACCUCCCUUGCACGCGUCCGUAUGUCACUCUUUCACGUAUUGAUGACGUGGAGCAUCAGCAUCAGCACCAGCCGACCAUCUCAGACACGUAUCCCUCAUACCGUGAUCAGGCGCAGCGUGGCGCGAUCGAUCUGAUCAACUUCGCGGAGGUUGAAGCUUCAUCUCAGAUCACGUUGCUUGUACGUGGAGUACGUGUGCCGGAGGCACAGUACAAAGACAGCUUGCGUAAGAUUCAAGACAACUUGACGCGAGCGCUACGUGCACUUACGUGUCGCGGCAAAGACGACGUGGGGGCCCCCAGUUCAUCUCAUUCGUCCGCCCACGUGUACACAGCUGGCUCGUCGACCUCUGCAGCACCGCACGCAGCGUCCAGCGGUACUGCCGCUAGUUCAAGCUUCAAGCACUCGACGGCAAUGGGACCUCCUCCUGCAAGA